ensembl:misc_RNA Metazoa_SRP Metazoan signal recognition particle RNA
GCUGGGUGUGGUGGCUCACGCCUGUAAUCCCGGUACCUGGGGAGGCUGAGGCGGGCGGAUCACCUGAGGUCAGGAGUUCAAGACCGGUCUGGCCUACAUGGUGAAACCCCGUCUCUA